GCGGCUGAUUUAGCAUGGAGAGAUGUCAGGCUGAGAUGUGGACUGAUAAAGAGUGGGGCAGAAAGUGCUCAUAAAGCAGUCUCCUACCACAGACAGGCCAGAACGUUUGCUCAACCUCCCUGCACCCUGAAAUGAACACCAGUCUUCCCUCACAUGUUCAGACACUCUUCGUGAGAGCCCGAUGGGAGACUUUACCAGACUUCCAAAGGCAGAGUAUCAUGAUGAAGAUCAACAGCUCUUUAAUGGGAUCCUACCUAUAAUCAAUGGGCACAAGGCAACAGCCUGGACAUAGCACCAGUCCAUUGCAGGCCACCCAGCUGAAUGUACUCCACAUUCUCCUCCAGUAUGUGGAAUCAAGUGGAGCAAUGUGGCUGCCCUUUUGAAUUCACAGCUGUAUAAUGGAUGCCUCUCAGUCUUCUUUGGCAGCUGCUCUCUUUUCUAUCAGAUUCACGA